rnacentral:rRNA from 1 species
CCUACGGGGUGCAGCAGUGAGGAAUAUUGGUCAAUGGGCGCGAGCCUGAACCAGCCAAGUCGCGUGAGGGAAGACGGUCCUAUGGAUUGUAAACCUCUUUUGUCGGGGAGCAAAAGACGCCACGCGUGGCGUUCCGAGAGUACCCGAAGAAAAAGCAUCGGCUAACUCCGUGCCAGCAGCCGCGGUAAUACGGGGGAUGCGAGCGUUAUCCGGAUUUAUUGGGGUAAAAGGGUGCGCAGGCGGAAGAUCAAGUCAGCGGUAAAAUUAAGAGGCUCAACCUCUUCGAGCCGUUGAAACUGGUUGUCUUGAGUGAGCGAGAAGUAUGCAGAAUGCGUGGUGUAGCGGUGAAAUGCAUAGAUAUCACGCAGAACACCGAUUGCGAAGGCAGCAUACCGGCGCUCAACUGACGCUCAUGCACGAAAGUGUGGGUAUCGAACAGGAUUAGAUACCCUGGUAGUC